AGCGAACGCUGGCGGCAGGCUUAACACAUGCAAGUCGAGCGGGCACUUUCGGGUGUCAGCGGCGGACGGGUGAGUAACGCGUGGGAACGUGCCCUCUGGUUCGGAAUAACUCAGGGAAACUUGAGCUAAUACCGGAUACGCCCUUUUGGGGAAAGGCUUGCUGCCGGAGGAUCGGCCCGCGUCUGAUUAGCUAGUUGGUGAGGUAACGGCUCACCAAGGCGACGAUCAGUAGCUGGUCUGAGAGGAUGAUCAGCCACACUGGGACUGAGACACGGCCCAGACUCCUACGGGAGGCAGCAGUGGGGAAUAUUGGACAAUGGGCGCAAGCCUGAUCCAGCCAUGCCGCGUGAGUGAUGAAGGCCUUAGGGUUGUAAAGCUCUUUUAUCUGGGACGAUAAUGACGGUACCGGAGGAAUAAGCCCCGGCUAACUUCGUG
rnacentral:rRNA from 1 species